rnacentral:rRNA from 1 species
AUGCCUGGCCGACUCGCUGCGCGGCGGCCCCGUCCAGGCAACACCCGGGCCGCUGCCGCCGCAGCCUACCGCUCCUCGGUGGCAGCCUCCUCCUCGGUCCUGCCCGACGAGCUUGACCGGAGCUCCGACGCCUACGCCUGCAACGCCGCCGCAGUCGGCGGCCUCCUCUCCGACCUGCGCUCCCGCGUCUCCCAGAUCAUUUUGGGGCUCCAGAACUUCGACAGGUCCAAUGUUGCGUCUGUCGUCACGGCUGCGGAUAAGCAUGUCCCUAAAACAAAUGGAGACAUUCCUUCUUUUGAUGAAGCCUUUUCAGAUCACCGAAGACUUCUUGACAGGUUGGUGUUGUAUGUCCUGGUUGAGCUCAAGGGUAACGGAGAUGGCAAUUGUCAGGGUUCUGGUGGCGACGUCGACGGUCGUCAAGAGGUUCGUGGACUGGACGGUGGCGUGGUUGUCGAUGUAUUCGCCUCGCUCCUCCUCCUCUACCUCUGGCACCCGAGCACACGGCGUGCGGGGCAUUUGUACAUGGCUUCAUCCGCCCUCUAG